GACGUAGGGGCGCGAGCGUUGUCCGGAUUUAUUGGGGCGUAAAAGGAGCUCGUAGGCGGCUUGUUGCGUCGACUGUGAAAAACCUGCGGCUCAACCCGUGUGGUCUGCAGUUCGAAUACGGGCAGGCUGGAGUUCGGUAGGGGAGAUGGAAUUCCUGGUGUAGCGGUGAAAUGCGCAGAUAUCAGGAGGAACACCGGUGGCGAAGGCGGGUCUCUGGGCCGAUACUGACGCUG
rnacentral:rRNA from 1 species